CAGCAGCCGCGGUAAAACGGAGGGUGCAAGCGUUAUCCGGAUUUAUUGGGUUUAAAGGGUCCGUAGGCGGACUUAUAAGUCAGUGGUGAAAGCCUGUCGCUUAACGAUAGAACUGCCAUUGAUACUGUAAGUCUUGAGUAUAUUUGAGGUAGCUGGAAUAAGUAGUGUAGCGGUGAAAUGCAUAGAUAUUACUUAGAACACCAAUUGCGAAGGCAGGUUACCAAGAUAUAACUGACGCUGAGGGACGAAAGCGUGGGUAGCGAACAGGAUUAGAUACCCGGGUAGUCCCUGUCUCUUAUAU
rnacentral:rRNA from 1 species